GACAGAGGGGGCAAGCGUUGCUCGGAAUCACUGGGCGUAAAGGGCGCGUAGGCGGGAUGGCAAGUCGGUCGUGAAAUCCUUCGGCUCAACCGAAGAACGUCGGCCGAUACUGCCGUUCUUGAGGGAUGCAGAGGAGAUUGGAAUUCCCGGUGUAGCGGUGAAAUGUGUAGAGAUCGGGAGGAACACCGAUGGCGAAGGCAGCCUUCUGGGCCAACACUGACGCUCAUGCACGAAGGCGUGGGGAGCAAACAGG
rnacentral:rRNA from 1 species